rnacentral:rRNA from 1 species
UAGGGAAUAUUAGUAAUGGGCGCAAGCCUGAACUAGCAACACCGCGUGUGCGAAGAAGGCCUUCGGGUUGUAAAGCACUUUUUGAGAGGAUGAGGAAGGACGGUACUCUCAGAAUAAGUCUCGGCUAACUACGUGCCAGCAGCCGCGGUAACACGUAGGAGGCAAACGUUAUCCGGAUUUACUGGGCGUCAAGCGCGUGUAGGUGGUUGGGUAAGUAGAGCGUGAAAGCUUCUGGCUCAACUGGGAGCGGUCGUUCUAAACUGCCGGACUAGAGGAUGGUAGAGGGAGGUGGAAUUCCGGGUGUAGCGGUGGAAUGCGCAGAUAUCCGGAGGAACACCAGUGGCGAAAGCGGCCUCCUGGACCACUCCUGACACUCAGACGCGAAAGCUAGGGUAGCAAACG